UCAAUCUUCUUUAGUAAAGGUUGUCCAGAAAGUUUGAGAGCAUCUGUUAAAGCUAUCCUUAAUGUACCAAACGAGCAAUUAAAUGACAAGUACUUGGGUAUGCCGUCAGAUGUAGGAACUUCAAAAAAUGGUGCUUUCAAGUACCUAAAGGACCGUCUAUGGGCAAAAAUA
rnacentral:rRNA from 1 species